rnacentral:lncRNA from 1 species
GAUUCGUAAUUGACCCACCAUCAAGUGCAAACCAAGCUUGAGAGGACGUGGCACUCGAAGAGUACUCUGCUGGAGAUUUAUUGAGUUGAUUUGAGUUGGCAUAACCAGCCGAAGCAGAGGUUCCCAGGACUGUCUCUCCCACUUUCAUCCCUUGAUCCAUCGUUCGACGUGCUUGCGAAAGUGGAUUCAUAGUAGCAGUGCCAUCUCCAUGAACCAUGUCAACGCACACCGUCGGAUUCGUAAUCGCCCCGCCAUCAAAUGCAAACCAAGCUUGAGAGGACGUGUCACUCGAAGAGUACUCUGCUGGAGAAUUAUUGAGUCGAUUUGAGUUUGCAUAACCAGCCGAAGGAGAGGUUCCGAGGGCUGUCUCUCCCACUUUCAUCCAUUGAUCCGUGGAUCGAUGUGCUUGCGGAAACGGAUCCAGACUAGAAGUGCGAUCGAGUUCAGACCAAGCUGGAUAAGACGUGUCACUCGAAGAGUACUCUGCUGGAGAAUUAUU